rnacentral:rRNA from 1 species
ACUCCUACGGGAGGCAGCAGUGGGGAAUAUUGCACAAUGGGCGCAAGCCUGAUGCAGCCAUGCCGCGUGUAUGAAGAAGGCCUUCGGGUUGUAAAGUACUUUCAGCAGUGAGGAAGGUGGGUAUGUUAANGCAUACCAUUUGACGUUAGCUGCAGAAGAAGCACCGGCUAACUCCGUGCCAGCAGCCGCGGUAAUACGGAGGGUGCGAGCGUUAAUCGGAAUUACUGGGCGUAAAGCGCAUGCAGGUGGUUUGUUAAGUCAGAUGUGAAAGCCCGGGGCUCAACCUCGGAAUUGCAUUUUGAAAACNGGCAAAACUAGAGUACUGUAGAGGGGGGGUGGAAUUUCAGUGUGCGGUAAAUGCGUAAAGAUCUGAAGGAAUACCGGUGGCGAAGGCGCCCCCUGGANAGAUACUGACACUCAGAUGCGAAAGCGUGGGGAGCAAAACAGGUUAGAUACCCUGGUA